rnacentral:rRNA from 1 species
AACGCGAAGAACCUUACCAGGCCUUGACAUCCAAUGAACUUUCCAGAGAUGGAUUGGUGCCUUCGGGAACAUUGAGACAGGUGCUGCAUGGAUGUCGUCAGCUCGUGUCGUGAGAUGUUGGGUUAAGUCCCGUAACGAGCGCAACCCUUGUCCUUAGUUACCAGCACGUAAUGGUGGGCACUCUAAGGAGACUGCCGGUGACAAACCGGAGGAAGGUGGGGAUGACGUCAAGUCAUCAUGGCCCUUACGGCCUGUGCUACACACGUGCUACAAUGGGCGGUACAGAGGGUUGCCAAGCCGCGAGGUGGAGCUAAUCCCAGAAAACCGAUCGUAGUCCGGAUCGCACUCUGCAACUCGACUGCGUGAAGUCGGAAUCGCUAGUAAUCGCUAAUCGUAAUGUAGCGGUGAAUACGUUCCCGGGUCUUGUACACACCG